CAGCCCCUCGAGUGGUGGGGAUGAUUAUUUGGCCUAAAGCGUCCGUAGCCGGCCGAGUAAGUCCCCCGUUAAAUCCAGCGUCUCAAGCGUUGGACUGCGGGAGAUACUACUUGGCUAGAGAGUGGGAGAGGUCAGCGGUAUUCUGGGGGUAGGGGCGAAAUCCUUUGAUCCCCGGAGGACCACCAGUGGCGAAGGCUGCUGAAUAGAACACGUCUGACGGUCAGGGACGAAAGCUGGGGUAGCGAACCGGAUUAGAUACCCGAGUAGUCC
rnacentral:rRNA from 1 species